rnacentral:tRNA from 1 species
GCCAGCAUGGCGUAAUGGUUUGAGUGUUGUACUAGGACACUAGAGGCCAGGGUUUGAAUCCCUGUGUGGCCA